UUCUGCUUUACGGGGAACUUGGUU
rnacentral:misc_RNA from 1 species